GACGAACGCUGGCGGCGUGCUUAACACAUGCAAGUCGAACGGUAAGGCCCUUCGGGGUACACGAGUGGCGAACGGGUGAGUAACACGUGGGUGAUCUGCCCUGCACUUUGGGAUAAGCCUGGGAAACUGGGUCUAAUACCGAAUAGGAUCAUGCACCUCAUGGUGUGUGGUGGAAAGCUUUUGCGGUGUGGGAUGGGCCCGCGGCCUAUCAGCUUGUUGGUGGGGUAAUGGCCUACCAAGGCGACGACGGGUAGCCGGCCUGAGAGGGUGUCCGGCCACACUGGGACUGAGAUACGGCCCAGACUCCUACGGGAGGCAGCAGUGGGGAAUAUUGCACAAUGGGCGCAAGCCUGAUGCAGCGACGCCGCGUGGGGGAUGACGGCCUUCGGGUUGUAAACCUCUUUCAGUAGGGACGAAGCGUAAGUGACGGUACCUACAGAAGAAGCACCGGCCAACUACGUGCCAGCAGCCGCCGUAA
rnacentral:rRNA from 1 species